rnacentral:rRNA from 1 species
UGGACAGCCUUCUGAAAGGAAGAUUAAUACAAGAUGGCAUCAUGAGUCCGCAUGUUCACAUGAUUAAAGGUAUUCCGGUAGACGAUGGGGAUGCGUUCCAUUGGAUAGUAGGCGGGGUAACGGCCCACCUAGUCUUCGAUGGAUAGGGGUUCUGAGAGGAAGGUCCCCCACAUUGGAACUGAGACACGGUCCAAACUCCUACGGGAGGCAGCAGUGAGGAAUAUUGGUCAAUGGGCGAGAGCCUGAACCAGCCAAGUAGCGUGAAGGAUGACUGCCCUAUGGGUUGUAAACUUCUUUUAUAAAGGAAUAAAGUCGGGUAUGCAUACCCGUUUGCAUGUACUUUAUGAAUAAGGAUCGGCUAACUCCGUGCCAGCAGCCGCGGUAAUACGGAGGAUCCGAGCGUUAUCCGGAUUUAUUGGGUUUAAAGGGAGCGUAGAUGGAUGUUUAAGUCAGUUGUGAAAGUUUGCGGCUCAACCGUAAAAUUGCAGUUGAUACUGGAUAUCUUGAGUGCAGUUGAGGCAGGCGGAAUUCGUGGUGUAGCGGUGAAAUGCUUAGAUAUCACGAAGAACUCCGAUUGCGAAGGCAGCCUGCUAAGCUGCAACUGACAUUGAGGCUCGAAAGUGUGGGUAUCAAACAGGAUUAGAUACCCUGGUAGUCCACACGGUAAACGAAGAAUGCUCGCUGUUUGCGAUAUACUGCAAGCGGCCAAG